AUACGGAGGAUCCGAGCGUUAUCCGGGAUUUAUUGGGUUUAAAGGGUGCGUAGGCGGGAUAAUAAGUCAGUGGUGAAAGUUUGCAGCUUAACUGUAAAAUUGCCGUUGAAACUGUUAUUCUUGAGAGUAGAUAAGGUAGGCGGAAUGUGUUGUGUAGCGGUGAAAUGCAUAGAUAUAACACAGAACCCCGAUUGCGAAGGCAGCUUACCGGGCUACAUCUGACGCUGAUGCACGAAAGCGUGGGGAUC
rnacentral:rRNA from 1 species